rnacentral:rRNA from 1 species
CUACGUGCCAGCAGCCGCGGUAAUACGUAGGGCGCGAGCGUUGUCCGGAAUUAUUGGGCGUAAAGAGCUUGUAGGCGGUUUGUCGCGUCUGCUGUGAAAGGCCGGGGCUUAACCCCGUGUAUUGCAGUGGGUACGGGCAGACUAGAGUGCAGUAGGGGAGACUGGAAUUCCUGGUGUAGCGGUGGAAUGCGCAGAUAUCAGGAGGAACACCGAUGGCGAAGGCAGGUCUCUGGGCUGUAACUGACGCUGAGAAGCGAAAGCAUGGGGAGCGAACAGGAUUAGAUACCCUGGUAGUCCAUGCCGUAAACGUUGGGCACUAGGUGUGGGGGACAUUCCACGUUUUCCGCGCCGUAGCUAACGCAUUAAGUGCCCCGCCUGGGGAGUACGGCCGCAAGGCUAAAACUCAAAGGAAUUGACGGGGGCCCGCACAAGCAGCGGAGCAUGUGGUUUAAUUCGAUGCAACGCGAAGAACCUUACCUACUCUUGACAUCCAGAGAACAUUC